GUACCUUUCCUCUUAGAUUGGGCGCUAAUAUCGGCACAACAGUCACCUCCAUUUUGGUGUCACAUGAAGUGAACAAGCACAGUUAGUGCAAACAAGUUGAUGCAUUUAGUGCUUAGAAAACUAAUAGAAAAGGUAGGCUAGAAAAUGGUUUGAAAUUCCAACGUUUGUAUUUGAAUGAUGAUCUGGAACCGAGUUUUGUCAUUUAUUCGUUGGCUCAAAUAAAGGGCUAAGAAGGAAAUGAUGGACACAGAUUUUCCCUAUUCUUAUACAUGGGUUCUUUAUUCUAUAGCUAUUGUAGUUGGCAUUGUCAAGUCUUGUGCGAUUAAUUUGAGUAUUACAUUAAUUUCAGAUAAA